rnacentral:rRNA from 1 species
UACGUAGGGACCAAGCGUUGUCCGGAAUCAUUGGGCGUAAAGAGCGUGUAGGCGGCCUGUUAAGUCUUGCGUGAAAUCUCGGGGCUCAACCCCGAGCGGUCGUGAGAAACUGGCAGGCUAGAGUGCGGGAGAGGAGAGUGGAAUUCCUGGUGUAGCGGUGAAAUGCGCAGAUAUCAGGAAGAACACCCGUGGCGAAGGCGGCUCUCUGGGACGGUACUGACGCUAAGGCGCGAAAGCGUGGGGAGCGAACAGG